rnacentral:rRNA from 1 species
AACGAACGCUGGCGGCAUGCCUAACACAUGCAAGUCGAACGAGACCUUCGGGUCUAGUGGCGCACGGGUGCGUAACGCGUGGGAACCUGCCCUUAGGUUCGGAAUAACUCCCCGAAAGGGGUGCUAAUACCGGAUAAUGUCUUCGGACCAAAGAUUUAUCGCCUUUGGAUGGGCCCGCGUUGGAUUAGCUAGUUGGUAGGGUAAAAGCCUACCAAGGCGACGAUCCAUAGCUGGUUUGAGAGGAUGAUCAGCCACACUGGGACUGAGACACGGCCCAGACUCCUACGGGAGGCAGCAGUGGGGAAUAUUGGAAAAUGGGCGAAAGCCUGAUCCAGCAAUGCCGCGUGAGUGAUGAAGGCCUUAGGGUUGUAAAGCUCUUUUACCCGGGAUGAUAAUGACAGUACCGGGAGAAUAAGCUCCGGCUAACUCCGUG